AAAUGUGACAAAAAAUUGGGGGAAAAAUGUGACAAAUAAUUGGAAAAAAACGUGAUUAAAAUUGGAAUAAAAUCGACAAAAACGUGGAGAAAAGUGUAGAAAAAUAACAACAAAAUGUUGAAAUUUGGACCCAGAAAAACCCAAAGUUGCAGAUGUCGACAGAAGACAACAG